rnacentral:rRNA from 1 species
CAGCAGCCGCGGUAAUACGAAGGGUGCAAGCGUUAAUCGGAAUUACUGGGCGUAAAGCGUGCGUAGGCGGUUUGUUAAGUCUGUUGUGAAAUCCCCGGGCUCAACCUGGGAAUGGCAAUGGAUACUGGCAAGCUAGAGUGUGUCAGAGGAUGGUGGAAUUCCCGGUGUAGCGGUGAAAUGCGUAGAGAUCGGGAGGAACAUCAGUGGUGAAGGCGGCCAUCUGGGACAACACUGACGCUGAGGCACGAAAGCGUGGGGAGCAAACAGGAUUAGAUACCCCCGUAGUCCCUGUCUCUUAUAC